rnacentral:rRNA from 1 species
UGCAGCGACGCCGCGUGAGGGAUGACGGCCUAUCGGGUUGUAAACCUCUUUCAGCAGGGAAGAAGCGAGAGUGACGGUACCUGCAGAAGAAGCGCCGGCUAACUACGUGCCAGCAGCCGCGGUAAUACGUAGGGCGCAAGCGUUGUCCGGAAUUAUUGGGCGUAAAGAGCUCGUAGGCGGCUUGUCGCGUCGGAUGUGAAAGCCCGGGGCUUAACCCCGGGUCUGCAUUCGAUACGGGCAGGCUAGAGUUCGGUAGGGGAGAUCGGAAUUCCUGGUGUAGCGGUGAAAUGCGCAGAUAUCAGGAGGAACACCGGUGGCGAAGGCGGAACUCUGGGCCGAUACUGACGCUGAGGAGCGAAAGCGUGGGGAGCGAACAGGAUUAGAUACCCUGGUAGUCCACGCCGUAAACGUUGGGAACUAGGUGUGGGCGACAUUCCACGUCGUCCGCGCCGCAGCUAACGCAUUAAGUUCCCCGCCUGGGGAGUACGGCCGCAAGGCUAAAACUCAAAGGAAUUGACGGGGGCCCGCACAAGCGGCGGAGCAUGUGGCUUAAUUCGACGCAACGCGAAGAACCUUACCCAGGCUUGACAUACACCGGAAACCUCUGGAGACAGGGGCCCCCUUGU